rnacentral:rRNA from 1 species
GAUGAACGCUGGCGGCGUGCCUAAUACAUGCAAGUCGAGCGAACGGACGAGAAGCUUGCUUUUCUGAUGUUAGCGGCGGACGGGUGAGUAACACGUGGAUAACCUACCUAUAGGACUGGGAUAACUUCGGGAAACCGGAGCUAAUACCGGAUAAUAUUUUGAACCGCAUGGUUCAAAAGUGAAAGACGGUCUUGCUGUCACUUAUAGAUGGAUCCGCGCUGCAUUAGCUAGUUGGUAAGGUAACGGCUUACCAAGGCAACGAUGCAUAGCCGACCUGAGAGGGUGAUCGGCCACACUGGAACUGAGACACGGUUCAGACUCCUACGGGAGGCAGCAGUAGGGAAUCUUCCGCAAUGGGCGAAAGCCUGACGGAGCAACGCCGCGUGAGUGAUGAAGGUCUUCGGAUCGUAAAACUCUGUUAUUAGGGAAGAACAUAUGUGUAAGUAACUGUGCACAUCUUGACGGUACCUAAUCAGAAAGCCACGGCUAACUACGUG